rnacentral:rRNA from 1 species
UACGGAGGGGGCUAGCGUUGUUCGGAAUUACUGGGCGUAAAGCGCGCGUAGGCGGACCUGCAAGUCGGGGGUGAAAGCCCGAGGCUCAACCUCGGAACUGCCUUCGAUACUGCGGGUCUCGAGUCCGGGAGAGGUGAGUGGAAUUCCUGAGUGUAGAGGUGAAAUUCGUAGAUAUUAGGAAGAACACCAGUGGCGAAGGCGGCUCACUGGCC